GGAUGAGCUGAGGCAGGGCCUGUCUGCAUGAAGCCUGGGCCUGCUCCUGGCUCUGAGGACCUCGAAGCAGAAGACGGUACCUGCUGAAGAACUCCUGUCAGUCUGCGAUGACACAGCCAGUGGGCCAUCUGAGGUCCUUCCACUCCUAACAGCUUGGAGAAGACAGUCAGUGAGCGGUCAUCUGCCUGAGAAAAAACAAAGAACUCAGAAUGGUGAAAGCAUUGCGAGUGCGCUCCAGGUCCAACAAAUCAUCAGUUCCGGGAAUCUGUACCUCUCCUCCCUGGCUGGUGUAGUGGAAAUGUUCAGGCAACUCUCUGGAGGCACACAGCUGGUAGAAGAUAUGGUAGUUCCUCUCUGCUGAUGCCUUACGCAUACAAACAAUGUUCAUCAACAUUUGCAGAAGUAGCAUUUCACCUCUUAACAAAUG